AACGAACGCUGGCGGCAUGCCUAACACAUGCAAGUCGAACGAGACCUUCGGGUCUAGUGGCGCACGGGUGCGUAACGCGUGGGAACCUGCCCUUAGGUUCGGAAUAACUCCCCGAAAGGGGUGCUAAUACCGGAUAAUGUCUUCGGACCAAAGAUUUAUCGCCUUUGGAUGGGCCCGCGUUGGAUUAGCUAGUUGGUAGGGUAAAAGCCUACCAAUGCGACGAUCCAUAGCUGGUCUGAGAGGAUGAUCAGCCACACUGGGACUGAGACACGGCCCAGACUCCUACGGGAAGCAGCAGUGGGGAAUAUUGGACAAUGGGCGAAAGCCUGAUCCAGCAAUGCCGCGUGAGUGAUGAAGGCCUUAGGGUUGUAAAGCUCUUUUACCCGGGAUGAUAAUGACAGUACCGGGAGAAUAAGCUCCGGCUAACUCCGUG
rnacentral:rRNA from 1 species